GUAGAGACUGUGGGCCUCAGUCUCUUCUUGCCCCCAUUCUGAUAGCAGAGGCUGCAGGCAUAAAAGCAGCUGGACCAUCUGAACCUCUAGGUUUCAGCUGAGGUGAACCGAUCAUGUGAUUAUCUCAUAUUGUAGAAUAAGAAUAACCUCCAAAAGACAAAGAACAGAUUCAGAAAAAGCAUUUGACAAAAGCCAACACUGAGGACAGGAAACAUCCUCAAUGCCACAUCCUGUGUCUUCAAGAGUCCACAGCCAACAACUACACAGCCUCGGAAAGCCCACAGCUAACACACUUGAUAGCGAAAAGCCAGUGUGUUGGUUGGUGCACGCCCGUGAUCCCUGCACUUGGGAGGCCAUCCUUGGAUACAGAGUGGGCUACCAGAGGCCCUAUCUCAGAUAAGUGGGAUCGUUCCUUUAAAUCAGCACCAAGGCAAAGCUGCUCUAACCACUCCCCAGCAUGGAGGAGCUACUCAGUAUCCUAGAGUGAUGGCUCACCAAGGCCAUCAGGUAAGACAAGGGAGGAAGACUUUAAACUAUCUCUGUUCACAGAAACUGGCCUCCCCUCCCAGACAGGUAUGUCUGUAGAGAAGCCAGAAGAGGGCCCCAGAUCCCCCGGAACUGGAAUUACAGGUGAUUGUGAGCCACAGUAAGGGUGUUGGGAUUUGUGUUGAAAAUUAUAAAAUGUUGGGAAAAAAAAAAUCAAAAUAUACUGUGUUCAAAGAUUGGCAAAA